UACGUAGGGGGCUAGCGUUGUCCGGAAUCAUUGGGCGUAAAGCGCGUGUAGGCGGCCCGGUAAGUCCGCUGUGAAAGUCGGGGGCUCAACCCUCGGAUGCCGGUGGAUACUGUCGGGCUCGAGUACGGAAGAGGCGAGUGGAAUUCCUGGUGUAGCGGUGAAAUGCGCAGAUAUCAGGAGGAACACCAAUGGCGAAGGCAGCUCGCUGGGACGGUACCGACGCUGAGACGCGAAAGCGUGGGGAGCAAACAGG
rnacentral:rRNA from 1 species